UACGUAGGGUGCGAGCGUUGUCCGGAAUUACUGGGCGUAAAGAGCUCGUAGGUGGUUUGUCGCGUUGUUCGUGAAAACUCACAGCUUAACUGUGGGCGUGCGGGCGAUACGGGCAGACUGGAGUACUGCAGGGGAGACUGGAAUUCCUGGUGUAGCGGUGGAAUGCGCAGAUAUCAGGAGGAACACCGGUGGCGAAGGCGGGUCGCUGGGCUGAUACUGACGCUGAGGCGCGAAAGCCAGGGGAGCGAACGGG
rnacentral:rRNA from 1 species